UUCCUCAGAUCAACACCUCUGUGGAGCUGAAGCAGGUGGUCUACAAGUCUCCAGGAAUCCAGAGAGAUGAGCUGCAGCCAGAUGUUUUGGAGACAUUUAACCGUGGAGCAAUGGUGGGGCUGCUGGUGGUUGCCGUGGCUAUCGCUAUGGUGAUGGUCAUCAGCUUGUUGCUAGUUCGCCGUAAGCCUUAUGGAACCAUCAGUCAUGGCAUAGUGGAGGUCGACCCCAUGCUGACCCCCGAGGAGAGACAGCUGAAUAAGAUGCAGAAUCACGGCUAUGAAAACCCCAC